rnacentral:rRNA from 1 species
GACGAACGCUGGCGGCGUGCUUAACACAUGCAAGUCGAACGGAAAGGCCUCUUUCGGGGGGUACUCGAGUGGCGAACGGGUGAGUAACACGUGAGUAACCUGCCCUUGACUUUGGGAUAACUUCAGGAAACUGGGGCUAAUACCGGAUAGGAGCUCCUGCUGCAUGGUGGGGGUUGGAAAGUUUCGGCGGUUGGGGAUGGACUCGCGGCUUAUCAGCUUGUUGGUGGGGUAGUGGCUUACCAAGGCUUUGACGGGUAGCCGGCCUGAGAGGGUGACCGGCCACAUUGGGACUGAGAUACGGCCCAGACGCCUACGGGAGGCAGCAGGGGGGAAUAUUGCACAAUGGGUGGAAGCCUGAUGCAGCAACGCCGUGUGCGGGAUGACGGCCUUCGGGUUGUAAACCGCUUUCGCUCAUGACGAAGCUUUGUGUGACGGUAGUGGGUAAAGAAGCACCGGCUAACUACGUG